rnacentral:rRNA from 1 species
AGAGUUUGAUCAUGGCUCAGAACGAACGCUGGCGGCAGGCUUAACACAUGCAAGUCGAACGGUUGUAGCAAUACAGCAGUGGCAGACGGGUGAGUAACACGUGGGAACCUUCCUAGGGGUACGGAACAACUCAGGGAAACUUGAGCUAAUACCGUAUACGUCCGUGAGGAGAAAGAUUUAUCGCCCCUAGACGGGCCCGCGUAGGAUUAGGUAGUUGGUGAGGUAACGGCUCACCAAGCCUACGAUCCUUAGCUGAUCUGAGAGGAUGAUCAGCCACACUGGGACUGAGACACGGCCCAGACUCCUACGGGAGGCAGCAGUGGGGAAUCUUGGACAAUGGGCGCAAGCCUGAUCCAGCCAUGCCGCGUGAGUGAAGAAGGCCUUCGGGUUGUAAAGCUCUUUUACCAGGGACGAUAAUGACGGUACCUGAGAAUAGC